ACACGACUCUCGGCAACGGAUAUCUAGGCUCUCGCAUCGAUGAAGAACGUAGCAAACUGCGAUACUUGGUGUGAAUUGCAGAAUCCCGUGAACCAGUUGCGCCCGAAGCCAUUAGGCCGAGGGCACGUCUGCCUGGGCGUCACGCAUCGCGU
rnacentral:rRNA from 1 species